UUGAAUCCAUCAGCAUGUCUCAAGCCUCACCCAUGGAAACCUUUUUGUAAGCUAGAGAAGUUCUGUCUCCAUAGUCAAUUUACAGGGUAGUGCAUAGGCAUUUAGUAGGAAGUGUUCUUUAUCCCUCUGAUUUGUUUUACCAUCUAUGCAAUACUGCAGUCACCAGAUGUAGAAGUAGCUUGUUGCAUUUAAAUGAGGAAAACGAGGGUUCUAGGAACAGUAAUCUGCUGCUAUGUCUCCAAAUUUCAAAGAUCUUCCAUUCUGCAAACAAGUUUAAAGCUUCCCAUUCUUCCUUGAAUCUGAUCGAAGAUCUGCAAGAUCAGCCACCAGGAAUGACAGAAAUUGGUGAUGACGGUUUCUUUUUAAGUGCACGCAGGUUGCAAGAAAGAAGAAGUGUCCAGUGGAGAUUGUUAAUAUGGAAAUAUCCUAAGAUAUGGCAUGCCAUCUGAGAAAAUAAGUGGACUACACUUUGGCACAAAGGAUAAUUAAUCAUACCAUGAAUUGCUGAAGACAGGUAAACUGAAAAGCGCUUCCUUUUUCCGCUCAUUAAUUUUGUGCAUCUACUUA
rnacentral:lncRNA from 1 species